rnacentral:rRNA from 1 species
AGAGACAGCAGUAGCCGCGGUAAAACAGAGGGUGCAAGCGUUAAUCGGAAUUACUGGGCGUAAAGCGCGCGUAGGUGGUUCGCCAAGUUGGAUGUGAAAUCCCCGGGCUCAACCUGGGAACUGCAUCCAAAACUGGCGAGCUAGAGUAUGGUAGAGGGUGGUGGAAUUUCCUGUGUAGCGGUGAAAUGCGUAGAUAUAGGAAGGAACAUCAGUGGCGAAGGCGACCACCUGGACUGAUACUGACACUGAGGUGCGAAAGCGUGGGGAGCAAACAGGAUUAGAUACCCCGGUAGUCCCUGUCUCUUAUAC